rnacentral:rRNA from 1 species
UGCUUGGGCGAGAGUAGUACUAGGAUGGGUGACCUCCUGGGAAGUCCUCGUGUUGCACCCC